CCAGGACUAAACCAGGACUGAACCAGGACUGAACCAGGACUGAACCAGGACUAAACCAGGACUGAACCAGGACUGAACCAGGACUGAACCAGGUCUAAACCAGGACUAAACCAGGACUAAACCAGGACUGAACCAGGACUAAACCAGGACUCAACCAGGACUAAACCAGGACUGAACCAGGACUGAACCAGGACUAAACCAGGACUGAACCAGGACUAAACCAGGACUGAACCAGGACUAAACCAGGACUGAACCAGGAAUAAACCAGGACUAAACCAGGACUAAACCAGGACUAAACCAGGACUGAACCAGGACUAAACCAGGACUAAACCAGGACUAAACCAGGACUGAACCAGGACUGAACCAGGU
ensembl:lncRNA